CAAACACACGCCGUGUGUGUGUGUGUGUGUGUAUAUAUCUAUAUAUAUAUAUAUAUAUAUAUAUGUAUGUAUAUAUAUAUAAAUAUAGAUAUAUAUAUACACACACACACAUACACUGCUGUGUGUGCU